GCCCUUCUGCGGUUUAACUUUGGCAGCAGCCAGCAGUACCCCAGAAAUGAACUGGUUAACCUGCAAGUCUACACAGGCCAGGCUGCUGGCCCCAGCUCCACGUCAUUUCAUUGGUUGCUUAUAGUUUUCACCACAGCCCAACUGUGAGGGCUGUGGAGAGGAACAUGCUGUUUAGUGGUAUAAAGUGAAGACGCUCUUGAAUCCUGUUCACAACUGUGUGAAAACACCACUGUUUGUGCUUCAAAUGGCCACCACGUGGGCAGCUUCGUGUCUAGGUCCUGAGAACCCUGGUCCUCCCUCACCUGUCGCCCCCGGCUGUUGUGAGAACAAGACUUAUCUGUGUGGAACCCAAGAGAACUGGAGUUAAAGGCUCACUGAUUUUUACUGACUCUUUUGGAAGCCACCUCCACUGACUCCUGCUAACUCUCAGACCCUGAUGCCCCACUCAAGCAGCCCCUUUGAGACAAGGAUCAGUUGUCUCGAUUCCAGCCUAUCCAGCAUGCCUUGCGAACUCAUACCUGGAAGCGCUGCCCCUAAGUAACGAUUCCACCAGGGGCACGGCUGUCCGGCCGUGUUCAGUUUCCCACCAGCCUAAGCCCCAGCGCUACACAGGUUAGCCCUAUACCACCUUGUAAGGUGCAAUCCUCGUUCGCCGGUGGGCAGACAGCAGUAGUGGGACGGACAGGUCUCCCACUAGAAAGCUUCCUCUCAUCAAGUUCAUUUCCAGCUUUAUGGACCUUUCAACCUUCUAGCCAAGACUUAUGGACUAACAUUUCCAAACUGUUCAUACACCUCUUACAGAUCUGGGCUCUGCUCUGAACCGGUAAAGAUGACGUACUCACAUCUCUCAAGCCAGACUUAAAAAAAUAAAAAUUCCAAUUCUACCAAGUACAGAUGUCUUGAAGAAUCCAAGAAGAAUCUGCUGAGGGGGGAGAAAAGGUUAAAAGUCGUACUCUUCCCCGCACGGUG